GGCCACCGACGGGCUCGGAGUCGCACUUAUCGCCUUCUCAAUCAGCGCCGGCCUCUAUACCUGCUGCCAUAUAUCUAGAUAUAAAGUCUAUUUUGAGCAAGGAAAAAAAGAUACAGUUUUGUUCUUUGAAAAACAUUUGAUACCUUGCUUUGUCCCCAUGGAUCCCUAAGGAAGAGGGGCUCUUCCAGCAACAGGAGUGCCACCAAGAGUCGACAUCAUCAAUGUCUCCAUUAGAAGCCGGAGAGUAUGAUCCAAGCAAACCGAGCCGCUAAAGAGACAGAGAGCUUAAGUGGAGAAGGGGAGCAGCAAAGUGUUGAGCGAGACGAAGAGGAGGUGAGGCAUGAUAAACAAAGAAAAAUGGCCAGAGAGCUCAAGUGGAGAAGGGGAGGAGCGAAGUGCGGAGCGAGACGAAGAGGAGGUGAGGCCGAAGAACAAUGGAAUUUUAGUCCCACAUCGCUAAAUAUAACUCUCCAAGUGUGACGGAGAACUUUAAAAGAAGGAAGGAUCCUAUCAUAUAA